AUUGAACGCUGGCGGCAUGCUUUACACAUGCAAGUCGAACGGCAGCGCGGGCUUCGGCCUGGCGGCGAGUGGCGAACGGGUGAGUAAUACAUCGGAACGUGCCCAGUAGUGGGGGAUAGCUCGGCGAAAGCCGGAUUAAUACCGCAUACGACCUGAGGGUGAAAGCGGGGGAUCUUCGGACCUCGCGCUAUUGGAGCGGCCGACGGCAGAUUAGCUAGUUGGUGGGGUAAAGGCCUACCAAGGCGACGAUCGGUAGCUGGUCUGAGAGGGCGACCAGCCACACUGGGACUGAGACACGGCCCAGACUCCUACGGGAGGCAGCAGUGGGGAAUUUUGGACAAUGGGCGAAAGCCUGAUCCAGCAAUGCCGCGUGUGUGAUGAAGGCCUUCGGGUUGUAAAGCACUUUUGGCGGGAACGAAAAGGACUGUGCCAAUACCACGGUUCGAUGACGGUACCCGCAGAAUAAGCACCGGCUAACUACGUG
rnacentral:rRNA from 1 species